rnacentral:rRNA from 1 species
AACGAACGCUGGCGGCAUGCCUAACACAUGCAAGUCGAACGAGACCUUCGGGUCUAGUGGCGCACGGGUGCGUAACGCGUGGGAAUCUGCCCUUGGGUUCGGAAUAACAGUUAGAAAUGACUGCUAAUACCGGAUGAUGUCUUCGGACCAAAGAUUUAUCGCCCAGGGAUGAGCCCGCGUCGGAUUAGCUAGUUGGUGAGGUAAAGGCUCACCAAGGCGACGAUCCGUAGCUGGUCUGAGAGGAUGAUCAGCCACACUGGGACUGAGACACGGCCCAGACUCCUACGGGAGGCAGCAGUGGGGAAUAUUGGACAAUGGGCGAAAGCCUGAUCCAGCAAUGCCGCGUGAGUGAUGAAGGCCUUAGGGUUGUAAAGCUCUUUUACCCGGGAUGAUAAUGACAGUACCGGGAGAAUAAGCCCCGGCUAACUCCGUGCCAGCAGCCGCCGUAAAAC